rnacentral:rRNA from 1 species
UAGGGAAUCUUCCGCAAUGGGCGAAAGCCUGACGGAGCAACGCCGCGUGAGUGAUGAAGGUCUUCGGAUCGUAAAACUCUGUUAUUAGGGAAGAACAAAUGUGUAAGUAACUAUGCACGUCUUGACGGUACCUAAUCAGAAAGCCACGGCUAACCACGUGCCAGCAGCCGCGGUAAUACGUAGGUGGCAAGCGUUAUCCGGAAUUAUUGGGCGUAAAGCGCGCGUAGGCGGUUUUUUAAGUCUGAUGUGAAAGCCCACGGCUCAACCGUGGAGGGUCAUUGGAAACUGGAAAACUUGAGUGCAGAAGAGGAAAGUGGAAUUCCAUGUGUAGCGGUGAAAUGCGCAGAGAUAUGGAGGAACACCAGUGGCGAAGGCGACUUUCUGGUCUGUAACUGACGCUGAUGUGCGAAAGCGUGGGGAUCAAACAGG